ACUUGAUGAUGUGGGCAUGUAUGCAAAAGGUCCCCAAAGCUCUCCCGAGUCUUGAAAAAUUGCUCACCAUAUAUCUAUGAGAAACUAGUGAUGGCUUUCCUAAGCU